rnacentral:rRNA from 1 species
CCUACGGGAGGCAGCAGUGGGGAAUAUUGGACAAUGGGCGAAAGCCUGAUCCAGCCAUGCCGCGUGUGUGAAGAAGGCCUUCGGGUUGUAAAGCACUUUCAGUGGGGAAGAAAGCCUUGGGGCUAAUACCCUCGAGGAAGGACAUCACCCACAGAAGAAGCACCGGCUAACUCCGUGCCAGCAGCCGCGGUAAUACGGAGUGUGCGAGCGUUAAUCGGAAUUACUGGGCGUAAAGCGCGCGUAGGCGGUCUGAUAAGCCGGUUGUGAAAGCCCCGGGCUCAACCUGGGAACGGCAUCCGGAACUGUCAGGCUAGAGUGCAGGAGAGGAAGGUAGAAUUCACGGUGUAGCGGUGAAAUGCGUAGAGAUCGGGAGGAAUACCAGUGGCGAAGGCGGCCUUCUGGACUGACACUGACGCUGAGGUGCGAAAGCGUGGGUAGCAAACAGGAUUAGAUACCCCUGUAGUC